rnacentral:rRNA from 1 species
ACGUACUGCCCCUUUACCUGUGUUUUUGACGAGGUCUAAGGACUUUUGUGUGACUAUCCAUGUCCUCUCUUCUUUUGUAUGGAUUCUUUUUCUCAGAGGGGCUAACGACUUAGGUUCUUACACGACCGUCAGGUUUACUUUGAAAAAAUUAGAGUGCUCAGAGCAGGCUUCAAGCUUGAAUAUUUGUGCAUGGAAUAAUGGAAUAGGAAGUCGUUUCUAUUUUGUUGGUUUUCGGAAAUUGACUUAAUGAUUAAUA